AGAGUUUGAUCCUGGCUCAGAAUGAACGCUGGCGGCGUGCUUAACACAUGCAAGUCGAACGAGAAAGCUUUCUUCGGAAGGUGAGUAGAGUGGCGCACGGGUGAGUAACGCGUGGGUAAUCUACCCUCGAAUUUGGGAUAACAUCGCGAAAGCGGUGCUAAUACCGGAUAACAUCUUUUUUGCUGAGGUGAGAGAGAUCAAAGGUGGCCUCUGAUAUAAGCCAUUGUUUGAGGAUGAGCCCGCGUACCAUUAGCUGGUUGGUGGGGUAAAGGCCUACCAAGGCGACGAUGGUUAGCUGGUCUGAGAGGAUGAUCAGCCACACUGGGACUGACACACGGCCCAGACUCCUACGGGAGGCAGCAGUGAGGGAUUUUGCGCAAUGGGGGGAACCCUGACGCAGCAACGCCGCGUGAGUGAUGAAGGCCUUUGGGUCGUAAAGCUCUGUCAAUGGGGAAGAAGUUGGCUGUUGUGAAUAGCGAUGGUCAUUGACGGUACCCAUGAAGGAAGCACCGGCUAACUCCGUGCCAGCAGCCGCGGUAAUACGGGGGGUGCAAGCGUUAUUCGGAAUUAUUGGGCGUAAAGGGCGCGCAGGCGGGGAUGUAAGUCAGAUGUGAAAUCUCGGGGCUCAACCCCGAAAGCGCAUUAGAAACUGCAUUUCUUGAGUAUGGGAGAGGAAAGCGGAAUUCCUGGUGUAGCGGUGAAAUGCGUAGAUAUCAGGAGGAACACCGGUGGCGAAGGCGGCUUUCUGGACCAAUACUGACGCUGAGGCGCGAAGGCGUGGGUAGCAAACAGGAUUAGAUACCCUGGUAGUCCACGCAGUAAACGUUGACAACUAGAUGUUGCGGGUAUUGACCCCUGCGAUGUCGGAGCUAACGCAUUAAGUUGUCCGCCUGGGGAGUACGGUCGCAAGAUUAAAACUCAAAGGAAUUGACGGGGGCCCGCACAAGCGGUGGAGCAUGUGGUUUAAUCAGGUGCUGCAUGGCUGUCGUCAGCUCGUGUCGUGAGAUGUUGGGUUAAGUCCCGCAACGAGCGCAACCCUUGUCUUCAGUUGCCAUCAUUGAGUUGGGAACUCUGAAGAAACUGCCCCGGUUAACGGGGAGGAAGGUGGGGAAGACGUCAAGUCCUCAUGGCCCUUAUGUCCAGGGCUACACACGUGCUACAAUGGUAUGUACAGAGGGAAGCGAGCCAGCGAUGGUGAGCGAAUCCCCCAAAGCAUAUCUCAGUUCGGAUCGCAGUCUGCAACUCGACUGCGUGAAGUUGGAAUCGCUAGUAAUCGCGGAUCAGCAUGCCGCGGGGCUGAUAAUUGG
rnacentral:rRNA from 1 species